rnacentral:lncRNA from 1 species
UGCCAAGUGGUUACUGCUGCUGUCUGGUAUUUGAAAAUUCAACCCAAGUGAUGUUGCUGAGAAAGGUUGAUCAUACACUGCCUGUGACACAGGCCUAUGAGCUACUGAUUAAACUCUCUAAAAAUGUCAGGUUAGUUUUGCUAGGUCAUUGUGCUGAUUCUUCAGACUGGCUGUGUUCUGAUGAGCUUCUCCCUUUUUUUCUCCUGUCAUUUCAGGAUGGCACCCUCAGCAAAUUCACAGACAACAUGAAGCUGAGAGGGAGUAUUGAUCUGCAGGAGGGCGGGAAGUCUCUGCUGAAGGAUUGGACAGGCUGGAUCAAUGACCUGAGGCCAAUUGCAUGAGGUUCAACAAGACCAAGUGCCAGGUCCUGCCCUUGGGUCACAACAACCCUGGGCAGUGCUACAGGCUGGGGACAGAGUGGCUGGAAAGCUGCCCAGGGGAAAAGGACCAGGGGGUGCUGGACCAGAGCCAGCUGGACAUGAGCCAGCAUGUGUCCAGGUGGCCAAGAAUGCCAGUGGCAUCCUGCUUGGAUCAGAAAUAGUAUGGCCAGCAGGAAAGGGAUUGUCCCCCUGUACUGGGCACUUUUGAGGCCACACCUCAGGUGCUUUGUUCAUUUUUGCACCCCUCCAGGCCAGAAAGACCCUGAGGUGCUGGAGCAAGUCCAGAGAAGGCCAGUGGAGCUGGGUAAGGGUCUGAGCACAGGUCUGAUGAGGAGCAGGUGAGGGAUCUGGGGUUUAGCUUGGAGAAAAGGAGGCUCAGGGGAGACGUCAUCACACUAUACAACUACCUGGCAGGAACUUGUUGCCAGGUGGAUAUUGGUCUCCUCUCCCAGGUUACAAGUGACAGGAUGAGAGAGAGGAAGUGGCCUCAAGUGGCCUCUCUGCAGCAGGAAGAUUUGGAUUGGAUAUUAGGAGAAUUUUUUUCGCUGAAAGUGUUGUCGAGCGUUGAAUUAAGCUGCCCGGGAAAGUGGUGGAGUCACCAUUCCUGGAAGCAUUCAAAAUAUGUGUGGAUGCAUCACUUGAAGACAUGGUUUAAUGAGACUGCUGAGCUUUUUGGGCUGGAAGUCAGCUUGAAGAAGACAGAAGUUUUCUAUCAACCUGCACCUCAGGAAGUCUUCCAUCAUCCUCAUAUCACCAUUGGCCAGUGAGUCCAGCAGUUUAAUUACGUGGGAAGCAUCGUCUCCUCGGAUGGUGAGAUUGACAGAGAGAUAGACAACAGGUUAGCAAAGACAUAUAGAGCUUUCGGAAAACUCCAUAAAA